UACGGGGGGGGCAAGCGUUGUUCGGAAUUACUGGGCGUAAAGCGCACGCAGGUGGCUGAGUCAGUCGAUUGUGAAAGCCCUGGGCUUAACCUGGGAAUUGCAGUCGAUACUACUCAGUUAGAGUAUGGGAGAGGGUAGUGGAAUUCCCGGUGUAGCGGUGAAAUGCGUAGAUAUCGGGAGGAACAUCAGUGGCGAAGGCGGCUACCUGGCCCAAUACUGACACUCAGGUGCGACAGCGUGGGGAGCAAACAGG
rnacentral:rRNA from 1 species